rnacentral:tRNA from 1 species
GGCUUUAUAGUUAAUUUAUAAUAUUAGACUGCAAUUCUAAAGUAGUGUUUGUACUAAAGCUU